rnacentral:rRNA from 1 species
CCUACGGGGGGCAGCAGUGGGGAAUAUUGCACAAUGGGCGCAAGCCUGAUGCAGCCAUGCCGCGUGUGUGAAGAAGGCCUUCGGGUUGUAAAGCACUUUCAGCGGGGAGGAAGGCGGUGAGGUUAAUAACCUCAUCGAUUGACGUUACCCGCAGAAGAAGCACCGGCUAACUCCGUGCCAGCAGCCGCGGUAAUACGGAGGGUGCAAGCGUUAAUCGGAAUUACUGGGCGUAAAGCGCACGCAGGCGGUCUGUCAAGUCGGAUGUGAAAUCCCCGGACUCAACCUGGGAACUGCAUUCGAAACUGGCAGGCUAGAGUCUUGUAGAGGGGGGUAGAAUUCCAGGUGUAGCGGUGAAAUGCGUAGAGAUCUGGAGGAAUACCGGUGGCGAAGGCGGCCCCCUGGACAAAGACUGACGCUCAGGUGCGAAAGCGUGGGGAGCAAACAGGAUUAGAUACCCGUGUAGUC